rnacentral:tRNA from 1 species
GUUUUUAUAGUAUAUUAGUACAUUUGACUUCCAAUCAAAAAGAUUGAUUUUUUCAAUAAAAACA